CGAAGAUACCUUGAUGAAUUUUGUGUUUUUAGUUCAGCUGUAUAAUCUGGAUCACUAUCAUCUCAAUUCUUUUCAGCUUUGUACCAACACCAUAGAAAACAUCCAACCAAUAUGGACCCUAUCAGAGAAUCAGAGAUUCCAGAAAACAUUAAGUACUUCAAAUCACGACCUGGUCUACUUAAACUAGCACAACUGAUUUUGGGAAUUAUAUGUGCAUCUUUGUAUUCAAAUAAAACAGUAGAAAAUGACAAGGUGUACUUUAAACUCGUGUCCAGUUUUCUCUGCGUUAUUGCUAUUAUAUGUUGUAUUAAAACAAUAUUUUGGAUGGUUAUUUACUGGUUAAACGUUAAGGAAACUAAAAAGUUAACAAAUAAUUGGACUAUAAUAGAAUUUAUUAAUACCACGAUCUGCGCAACAUUUUACACUAUAGCAUGCAUAGAGGUAAUUAAUGACAUAAUAGCAUUUGCUGGCAUGGGUACAAGUGCUUGGAUUGCUCAUUGGAUUUUUGGAGUCUUUAACACAUUAAUUUUCUGGUACAGUGUUUAUUUGUUAUGGUUCGAUACGGCCAAGUGGAAUAUGAACAUCUGUGGCUGCUUCAGUACUUAGGUGUUUAAUUCUGAAAAAUAUAUGUCACAUUUUAUAAGAAUACCAUAAUUAUAUUCGCAUAAAAUUUAUAGUAUGGGGGAAGUACCAAUGACCAUAAAGGAAAAGGAAAAGAUUAAAUUAAGGAUUAAAUGUCCACCUCAGCCCGUCUCGUCUGAGAAAUUAAAAGUAUGUGUGAACUUGAAUGUACUAUAAUUAAUAAUAUAAAUUUUAACAUCACCAAAGGGAAUAUUUAGUUUUAUACAAUAAUUUAAUUAUCUGAAUAUAUUUUUUAUGGGUAGUCAAAAUUUGCGAGUAGGAAGAACAUGAACAAUAAUGCAAAAAUCAAAUAAGUUUCUCCGGAAGUAAAUAAAAACAGGAAAAAAUGAUAACAGGAUAAUUUGAAUGACAAACUGAAAUUAAACCCAUCCUCAAGGACUUGCUGAAAUUAGUUCAAGGUCUGUGGGAAGAUGGUUAGUGGAUGGUUAUAACUACAAGAAAAAUCUUGGUUUCCACUGUAAUGUCCUAGUUGUGAAGUUUGAAUUUACCACAAAAAGAAUAUUCAAAAGUAAAUGAGAGAGCCAUCUCUGUCCGCAUGUAUACCCUUAAAAACAGAAGUUAACUGUAACAGAUAUAGAAGUUUGAUGAAAAUCGUUUACAAAUCAAAUUUCUGUUUAUUUAUCGUCUAAAUGCUGAAAAGAUUGUGUACCGGCCAGUCGAAUGUGUAAGUUUGAAGAAGGCAGUUGAAAGUUACUAAAAUUUUGUGCAGGUAUUUUAAUUUAUUUUUGAAAUAUAUAAUUGUGUGCAUUGAAUACCUUUCAAAAUUAAAGUAAUUCGGAAAAAUAUAUAAACGUUUUAUAAUUGUUAACAGUUCACAUUGAAUAAAAGAGUUACGGCUAAACCAUUUAACAUUGUAAAAUGUUGCUAUAAUAACAUUUACUCCAGUGACAGACAGACCUGUGAGCAGCGGGAAUAAAAUCCUGACGUGUAGUUGCAAUAUGCCACUCAUGAUGUCUGGGAUUUCAAUAAAUAUUAAGUACUUCAUGACACGGCCUGGCCUACUUAAAUUGUUGCAACUGAUUUUGGGAAUUCUGUAUACAUUUUUAUAUUCAAAUAUAUUGUAUAAAAACAUAAAAUAUUUCCCGAAUAUCGGAUGGGGGAUCCUCUUCAUUGUCGCCAGUGUAUGUUGCGUUGUAACAAUAGUGUGGAUAGUUAUUUAUUUGUUUAAUAUCAGGGGAACCACAAAUCAGCCAAAUACUUGGAUUAUCAUAGAACUUCUAAGCACCACAGUCUGCGCAGUCGUUUACACUAUAGCUUGCCUAAUAGAAGUCACAGAGUUUUCAGAAUAUUUAAAAUAUGAUGCAACUACGAAUGUUUCUGCUUGGUUGUUCGGAUUCUUUAACACAAUGGUGUUCUUCUAUUGUGCUUUCUUGCUGUUUGUAGAAUUGAGGAACCGUACUUAAUACCGAAUUUUUCUUCACUCAAAAAGGGAUACUGUGUAUGUCAAGGAUCCUUAAAACAAUAGUAAUAAAUCUAAAAUUUGGAGAUGUUUUAGAAUUUGCACAUUUUUAAUAUA